GACGAACGCUGGCGGCGUGCUUAACACAUGCAAGUCGAACGGAAAGGCCCUGCUUUUGUGGGGUGCUCGAGUGGCGAACGGGUGAGUAACACGUGAGUAACCUGCCCUUGACUUUGGGAUAACUUCAGGAAACUGGGGCUAAUACCGGAUAGGAGCUCCUGCUGCAUGGUGGGGGUUGGAACGUUUCGGCGGUUGGGGAUGGACUCGCGGCUUAUCAGCUUGUUGGUGGGGUAGUGGCUUACCAAGGCUUUGACGGGUAGCCGGCCGGAGAGGGUGACCGGCCACAUUGGGACUGAGAUACGGCCCAGACUGCAACGGGGGGCAGCAGUGGGGAAUAUUGCACAAUGGGCGGAAGCCUGAUGCAGCAACGCCGCGUGCGGGAUGACGGCCUUCGGGUUGUAAACCGCUUUCGCCUGUGACGAAGCGUGAGUGACGGUAAUGGGUAAAGAAGCACCGGCUAACUACGUG
rnacentral:rRNA from 1 species